rnacentral:rRNA from 1 species
AUCGAACCCGGAGAUAGCUGGUUCUCCUCGAAAUAGCUUUAGGGCUAGCCUCAUGGAUCAUUGGUGGGGGUAGAGCACUGAAUGUGCGCGGGGGCCACAAAGCCUACCAAACGCUAUCAAACUUCGAAUACCAUACAAUGCAGACCAUGGGAGUCAGUCCGCGAGAGAUAAGUUCCGCGGGCAAAAGGGGAACACCCCAGAUCAACCGCUAAGGUCCCCAAGUUCACGUUAAGUGGAGAAGGAUGUGGAAUUGCACAGACAACCAGGAUGUUGGCUCAGAAGCAGCCACACAUUUAAAGAGUGCGUAAUAGCUCACUGGUCGAGUGAUUGUGCGCCGAAGAUGUCCGGGGCUAAACGUGACACCGAAGCGAUGGGUGCAUCUGAAAGGAUGCGCGGUAGAGGAGCAAUGUGCAGAGGCAGAAGCCGUAUCGAGAGGCACGGUGGACACUGCACAAGAGAGAAUGCCGGUAUGAGUAGCGAGAGGCAUGCGAGAAACAUGCCCGUCGAAAGCCCAAGGUUUCCUGGGGAAGGUUCAUCCGCCCAGGGUAAGUCGGGGCCUAAGCCGAGGACGGAAGUCGUAGGCGAUGGACAGCAGGUGUAGAUUCCUGCACUACCGAUGGAAUGAAGCAGUGACACAGAAGGAUAACUCGAGCAGGGUGAUGGUCAACCCUGUGCAAGCAUCAAGGUUGGGUUGUAGUGAAGUACGCAAUCCUACAAGCUGAGGUGUGAUGCGGACCGAAAUUUCAGUAGGGAAGCGAGUGAGUUCACGCUGGCGAGAAAAGCUGCUAGUAUAUCCAAAGGUACCCGUACCGGAAACCGACGCAGGUGGGCGAGGAGAGAAUCCUGAGACGAACGGGAGAACCCUUGUUAAGGAACUCGGCAAAAUGACCCCGUAACUUCGGGAUAAGGGGUGCCUGCGAGAGCAGGCCGCAGAGAAUAGUCACAAGCGACUGUUUAGCAAAAACACAGGUAUCUGCGAAAGCGAGAGCUGACGUAUAGGUGCUGACACCUGCCCGGUGCUGGAAGGUUAAGGGAACAUGUUAGAGCAAUCGAAGCAUCGAACCGAAGCCCCAGUAAACGGCGGCCGUAACUAUAACGGUCCUAAGGUAGCGAAAUUCCUUGUCGGGUAAGUUCCGACCCGCACGAAUGGUGUAACGACUUGUGAGCUGUCUCAACAGGGGGCCCGGUGAAAUUGAAGUAUGGGUGAAGAUGCCCAUUACCCGCGACUGGACGGAGAGACCCCGUAGAGCUUUACUGCAGCCUGAUAUUGAGUUUCGGUAACUGAUGCACAGGAUAGGUGGGAGUCUGAGAGACACGGGUUUCGGCUCGUGAGGAGACGCUGUUGGGAUACCACUCUUCGGUUACUGAAAUUCUAACAUAGCUCUGUGAAACCAGAGGAUGGACAGUGUCAGGUGGACAGUUUGACUGGGGCGGUCGCCUCCGAAAGAGUAACGGAGGCGCCCAAAGGUACCCUCAGAAUGGAUGGAAACCAUUCGAAGAGCGCAAAGGCAGAAGGGUGCCUGACUGCGAGAUUGACAAAUCGAGCAGAGACGAAAGUCGGGCUUAGUGAUCCGGCGGUAUUGAGUGGAAAAGCCGUCGCUUAACGGAUAAAAGCUACCUCGGGGAUAACAGGCUGAUCUCCCCCAAGAGUCCACAUCGACGGGGAGGUUUGGCACCUCGAUGUCGGCUCGUCGCAUCCUGGGGCUGAAGCAGGUCCCAAGGGUUUGGCUGUUCGCCAAUUAAAGCGGCACGCGAGCUGGGUUCAG